rnacentral:lncRNA from 1 species
AAAGCUUGGUAUGAUUUUUUUGCUGUAAAUUCGGUGAAGAUAAAGAUCUUAAUUUACUUCAAAGCCGAAUUAAUUCUACUUCAAUUUCCUCCAGAUUUUCAUUUAGCAAAAAAAGUAGACAAAGUUUUAGUAGUAUAAAGAAAAUUAAAAAAGAUGACACGCCUGAAAAUAGUCUUGCACUUUUGACGGUGCCCCAUGUCACAGAGCACCGCGGAAGUGCAUUUAACCAG